AUUGAACGCUGGCGGCAGGCCUAACACAUGCAAGUCGAGCGGAUGACGGGAGCUUGCUCCUUGAUUCAGCGGCGGACGGGUGAGUAAUGCCUAGGAAUCUGCCUGGUAGUGGGGGACAACGUUUCGAAAGGAACGCUAAUACCGCAUACGUCCUACGGGAGAAAGCAGGGGACCUUCGGGCCUUGCGCUCUCAGAUGAGCCUAGGUCGGAUUAGCUAGUUGGGGAGGUAAUGGCUCACCAAGGCGACGAUCCGUAACUGGUCUGAGAGGAUGAUCAGUCACACUGGAACUGAGACACGGUCCAGACUCCUACGGGAGGCAGCAGUGGGGAAUAUUGGACAAUGGGCGAAAGCCUGAUCCAGCCAUGCCGCGUGUGUGAAGAAGGUCUUCGGAUUGUAAAGCACUUUAAGUUGGGAGGAAGGGCAGUAAGUUAAUACCUUGCUGUUUUGACGUUACCGACAGAAUAAGCACCGGCUAACUCUGUGCCAGCAGCCGCCGUAACAC
rnacentral:rRNA from 1 species